rnacentral:lncRNA from 1 species
CCAGGGGGAACCCAGCUCACCGGUGAGCCUGCCUCCCGCUUGCGCUUACUGUCUCUCGCCAUCUCCCCUUGAUCACACCCGGUAACUCCCUGACGUCUACCUGUCUACAAUCUAGUUUGCUUUCUCAGCGUCCUUCAGCUUGACACUCUCUACAUGGAAACACACCGACCUGGAGUCUCGAAGAGCAGCGACUGGUGAUUACUGUCUAUAGGAGGAGUCAAAAAGUGGAAAUGUUGCUCAGUAGCUGCCCACAGAAAAAAAAUCUGCCAACUUCCUCCAUAAUGGACCUGAAGAACAUAAGAUUAAAAAGGUAAACCAUAUGGUAUUUUAUAUUAUUUUCCCCAUCCUAAUUUUUAAAAUUAGAAAGUUUAUUGCUUAAGAAUCAGAAUUAGGCCAUGUGUUUUGUUCAGUGAUACUGCUGAACUAAAAACUAAAUGCAUGAGUGGCAUUUGCAUUUAAUUUUUUAAAGAUUUAACACCCAGGAGGAUUUCAGGAACUCAAGACCCAACAUCAUUUGUGUUAUCACACCAUUCAAGAUGCAUGGAACAUGGAGCUUGUGACAUGGAAGACUUCUAUUUCUAUAGAGCAUCAUAAUGGGUUACUAUGUACGCGUG